AUGUUGGAGGGUCAAUCUUGCCUGAUCUCGAGGUCACUGCCCAGCUCCUGCGAACAGGAAUCCAGAUUAGCUUAUAUGACUUACCACCUCCUUGAGAUCACAAGGACUAAGCGCCCAUCUGGGGUCCUGGCUAUUGAACAGGAUGGAAUUGCUGUGGCGGCAGUGCUGGCAAAGCGGCCUAAGUCUGAGGAUAGCCAUGAUGCUGUGCCGGUAGACUGUCAAGGUGGUAAUCAGGGCUAUUCUGAUUCAAGCACACUGAUAAGUUCUAUUGGCAGAGAUAAUUCAAUCAAUUGUCUAGCCCGCUGCUCUCGGUCUGAUUAUGGCUCCAUUGCAUCACUGAGCCGGAACUUCCGUUCCCUUGUCCGUGAUGGUGGUCUGUACAGAGAAAGGCGGAGGUUAGGGAUUGCAGAACACUGGGUGUAUUUCUCCUGCAAUGUGCAGGAGUGGGAGGCAUAUGACCCAUACCGUGAACGGUGGAUGACGCUCCCAAGGAUGCCACCUAAUGAGUGUUUCAUGUGCUCAGACAAGGAGUCACUAGCUGUCGGCACUGAACUUCUGGUGUUUGGCAAGGAGAUUCUAUCACAUAUUGUUCUUAGCUAUAGCAUCCUGACCAACUCAUGGUCAAGAGGCGUUGAAAUGAAUGCCCCUAGAUGUUUGUUUGGUUCGGCUAGUUUUGGAGAGAAGGCAAUUAUAGCUGGUGGCAUGGAUUGUUUUGGGAAUGUGCUUAGUUCUGCUGAGCUGUACAACUCUGAAACUAAAAGUUGGAUUACACUUCCGAGCAUGAACAAGCGUAGGAGAAUGUGUUCUGGAGUCUUCAUGGAUGGCAAGUUUUAUGUUAUUGGUGGAAUGGCCAGUAACACGGAGGUGCUGACAUGCGGAGAAGAGUAUGAUUUAGAGAAGGGUACCUGGAGGUUGAUAGAGAACAUGUCAGAGGGGCUCAAUGGUGCCAGUGGUGCUCCUCCCCUUGUUGCUGUAGUUGACAAUGAGCUAUAUGCGGCUCAAUAUGCAGGAAAACUAGUAAGGAAGUAUAAUAAAAGUGACAACACAUGGACAACUCUUGGGGAGUUACCAGAGCGCCCAGAAGCUGUGAAUGGCUGGGGCAUUGCAUUCCGAGGAUGCGGAGAGCGGCUCCUGGUGAUUGGUGGACCAAGAGUGCUGGGCGGCGGGAUGAUUGAACUCCAUUCGUGGAUCCCAAGGGAGGGCCCCUUGCAAUGGAACAUGAUCGGAAGCAAACCUUCUGGCAACUUUGUUUAUAACUGUGCUGUCAUGGGGUGCUGA
rnacentral:rRNA from 1 species